GGGCUCGUAGCUCAGCUGGUUAGAGCGCACGCUUGAUAAGCGUGAGGUCGAAGGUUCAAUUCCUUCCGGGCCCA
rnacentral:tRNA from 1 species